AGCCUGGCUGUUUACCAGCUCCGCAUACUCCUCUCUGAAGCACAAACAAAGCCGGUAGCAACCAAGCAAGCAUCUCCUCAUGCUGUGUUGAGGAGUUUGUUACAAUCCUGCUCCUUGAAGGACUGCCACAAUUCCCUGAGUCGGUGAUGUGUCUUUGAUAUCAGCCUACUGCUCUUGGAAGCAUUACAACAUGUGAACCUGGAUUCCUCUGGUCAGGACACACACGAGCACCAUGCUUGAAAGCAAACUUGCCUCCUGUGCAGCUUGUGAAUGCCGUCACUCUCAAUUGCCACGAAAUCAACAGUCAGGCAGCACAAUGCUUUUGUUCAAAUAUUGAAACCUUAAGCACCCUGCAAGCAAAUGAAGACAACAAACUUGCAUAUCUGGAUUGCAGUUCGGGCCACAUGGCUACUCUCACGAUUGGUUUCAGAGGAGUCUCUAGUACCUUGUUCUCAAACUGGCGUUCUUCAGACUAACAGCUCUGAUGUCCGUAUUUUUCAUAAAUGACCAGCAGGCGCAUGCAGAACUUGAGCAUCAGAAGCAAAUACCUGGUCAUGCGGCAUGGCCAAUGAAACAGCAAUAGAACAAGUCAGAAACAAAAGCAGCUGAGCAUAUGUUUGUACCAAAUAUGUCUUUACCAAAGACCUUGAUUGGAGCCAGUGUUGGAGAAGCAAUAUUAAACCACCUGAGUAAGAUCUACUGAAACCUUGAAAGACUUCUUCCCUGUAGCUC